UACGUAGGGUGCAAGCGUUGUCCGGAAUUAUUGGGCGUAAAGAGCUCGUAGGCGGUCUGUCACGUCGGCUGUGAAAACCCGAGGCUCAACCUCGGGCCUGCAGUCGAUACGGGCAAACUAGAGUACUGCAGGGGAGACUGGAAUUCCUGGUGUAGCGGUGAAAUGCGCAGAUAUCAGGAGGAACACCGAUGGCGAAGGCAGAUCUCUGGGCCGUAACUGACGCUGAGGAGCGAAAGCAUGGGGAGCGAACAGG
rnacentral:rRNA from 1 species